GCCCGUGUAGUUCAACGGAUAGAACAAAAGUUUCCUAAACUUUAGAUCUAGGUUCGAUUCCUAGCAUGGGUA
rnacentral:tRNA from 1 species